UACGUAGGGUGCAAGCGUUGUCCGGAAUCAUUGGGCGUAAAGCGCGUGUAGACGGCUUGGCAAGUCCGCUGUGAAAACUCGAGGCUCAACCUCGAGAUGUCGGUGGAAACUGCCUGGCUAGAGUCCGGAAGAGGAGUGUGGAAUUCCUGGUGUAGCGGUGAAAUGCGCAGAUAUCAGGAAGAACACCCGUGGCGAAGGCGGCUUUCUGGGACGGUACUGACGCUGAGACGCGAAAGCGUGGGGAGCGAACAGG
rnacentral:rRNA from 1 species